CGGGGGGAGCAAGCGUUGUUCGGAUUUACUGGGCGUAAAGGGCGCGUAGGCGGUCAGCACAAGUCAGUUGUGAAAUCUCCGGGCUUAACUCGGAAAGGUCAACUGAUACUGUGCGACUAGAGUGCGGAAGGGGCAACUGGAAUUCUCGGUGUAGCGGUGGAAUGCGUAGAUAUCGAGAGGAACACCUGCGGCGAAGGCGGGUUGCUGGGCCGACACUGACGCUGAUGCGCGAAAGCCAGGGGAGCGAACGGGAUUAGAUACCCCGGUAGUCCUGGCCUUAAACGAUGGAUGCUUGGUGUCUGGAGUUUUAUAGUCUCCGGGUGCCGUAGCUAACGCGUUAAGCAUCCCGCCUGGGGAGUACGGUCGCAAGACUG
rnacentral:rRNA from 1 species